UAGAUACUCCCUCCGUCCGGAAAUACUUGUCAUCAAAAUGGAUGAAAAUGAAUGUAUCUAGAACUAAAAUACAUCUAGAUACAUCCAUUUCAAUGACAAGUAUUUCCGGACGGAGGGAGUACUAU
rfam:Triticum urartu cultivar G1812 contig1080954, whole genome shotgun sequence.